UACAGAGGGUGCAAGCGUUAAUCAGAAUUACUGGGCAUAAAGCGUGCGUAGACGGUUAUUUAAGUCAGGUGUGAAAGCCCAGGGCUCAACCUUGGAAUUGCAUUUGAGACUGAAUAGCUAGGGUGCGGAAGAGGGAAGCGGAAUUUCCGGUGUAGCGGUGAAAUGCGUAGAUAUCGGAAGGAACACCAGUGGCGAAAGCGGCUUCCUGGUCCAGCACCGACGUUCAAGCACGAAAGCGUGGGGAGCAAACAGG
rnacentral:rRNA from 1 species